rnacentral:rRNA from 1 species
GACGAACGCUGGCGGCGCGCCUAACACAUGCAAGUCGAGCGAGAACCAGGGCUUCGGCCCUGGGGACAGCGGCGAACGGGUGAGUAACACGUGGGUAACCUGCCCUCGGCACCGGGAUAGCCCGGGGAAACUCGGAUUAAUACCGGACAGCCUCAUGAGCCCUCGGGCGAAUGAGAAAAGGUGGCUUCGGCUUCCGGCUGAGGAUGGGCCCGCGGCCGAUUAGCUUGUUGGUGGGGUAACGGCUCACCAAGGCUCCGAUCGGUAGCUGGUCUGAGAGGACGAUCAGCCACACUGGGACUGAGACACGGCCCAGACUCCUACGGGAGGCAGCAGUGGGGAAUCUUGCGCAAUGGGCGAAAGCCUGACGCAGCGACGCCGCGUGCGGGAAGAAGGCCUC